AGCAACCACCCCAUGUACCCUAGCAACCUCAUUGCAACACCCUAGCAACAGAGGGGCGAGUUUUGCCACUGCAAGCACCACUCACAUUUUCUUCAGGAAAUGUACCUUCUAGUUAUUAUUCUUCUUCUUCUUCUUCUAGAUCCGUACAAAUUUCGGCGCGUAACUAGUCCCGCAGUUUUCGUCACAGACCAACGAAACAGGCGUCAAAUCGUGCGCCCUAAUCGGGAAUGGUGUGCUAUGACUUUUAUAAGCGAUCGGGCGUACGAAGUUCGCACACCGGGCGAAAAAACGGGCGAAAAAUCGCAUAGACAAUGCAUUGCGGCCAACUUUGACGGAUCGUAGCUCUGAGAGAGAAUUUCGCAGAAACACGUGAAUCUCCACAUUUGGAGAGGCUAUCAGGCUGUGCGAGAACAUACCCCGCAGUGGGGUAUAAGUUGUACCCCUGGGGCGCAAGAGCCCCCCAAAAUUGCCCCUAAUACAAAGUAUAGGGAGGACUUUUCCUACUAUGGGACAUUACAAAGGGAUUUUGUAUUGAACAUAACUCAGGAUGACAGUGUCAUAGAGACAAGGGGGUGGGCUCAUUUGAAUCAGGCAACCAAUCAGUCUCUCAGGAUCACUGUGAAUCUAUCAAGCCACGCCCUAGCAACCAUAUAGAGCACCAUAGCAACAAGCCCCAUAGACUUCCUUUGAAAAAGAUCAAAUGAAUAACUUUGGAUAGAAGUGUCAUAGAAACAUGAGGGUGGGCUCGUUUGACUCGGGCAGCAAACGGCCAAUCAUGUAUCUCCUUCAAGACAACCUAGCCACGCCCUAGCAACCAUUAAGAGCUACCUAGCAACCCAAAGUAUAGAGAGAUAUCUUAACAUCUGAAAGACAUAGAAGCAUGGGGGUUGGUUUAUAUUGGCGAGCAGCCUUUGGAGUAUCACCAUUGGCAGCUGCCAAGCCACUCCAUAGCAACCAAACGGAGUACCCUAGCAACCGUUUUGCAGGACCUAUAUCUCUGCAUCAGAACAUCGUACAGACAUGGCGGUUGGAUUUUUUGACUCAUGCUAGCACACUGGACUUCCAACAUGCUAGUCAUGCUAGCAGUGAUUAGCUACAUGCUAAUAGUGAUUAGCUAAGUGCUCAAAUGGGCUAAGAACUCUAUAAUAACUACAUAGUGACCAUCUGUGACAACUACCAACCAGCUAGUAACAUCAUAGCAACCACCCAGGAGACCAUAGCAACUGCCUAGCAACCACCCCGGGUACCCUAGCAACCACAUAGCAACACCCUAGCAACCGCCCCGAUUACCCUAGCAACCACCCUGGGUACCU